rnacentral:tRNA from 1 species
UGCAUCAGCCGGGAAUCGAACCAGGGCCUCCAGCGUGGCAGGCGAGCAUUCUACCACUGAACCACCGAUGC